UGCCUUAUUUAGACUAUGCAGGUGGAG
rnacentral:piRNA from 1 species